UACGUAGGGUGCGAGCGUUAAUCGGAAUUACUGGGCGUAAAGCGUGCGCAGGCGGUUCUGUAAGACAGGUGUGAAAUCCCCGGGCUUAACCUGGGAACUGCAUUUGUGACUGCAAGGCUAGAGUGUGGCAGAGGGGGGUAGAAUUCCGCGUGUAGCAGUGAAAUGCGUAGAUAUGCGGAGGAAUACCGAUGGCGAAGGCAGCCCCCUGGGUCAACACUGACGCUCAUGCACGAAAGCGUGGGGAGCAAACAGG
rnacentral:rRNA from 1 species